rnacentral:lncRNA from 1 species
AUGCACACGUGUCAGGGAGCCGUGACCCCAGAAAACCCACUGGCAGCUCCACGUGACUCAGAAUCACAUCCUUUCAGGGGUUCUCGGGGGCUCCGUCCACGUGCCACCGUGGCUGCUGGGAGAACCUGCCAAAACUCUGGCCCCUUCGUCUCAGGGAGCAUCCCCUACAGGUGGCCCAUUCAGGGGCCUUUCUGCCGUUGGCAGCCUUCUGAAGGCUCCACCAGGGGAGGAUUGAGGUGCAGGACUUUGGGCCAGGUGCGUGUACCUCCUGGGGUCUUGCUCUGUGCUCUGGUCCCCGAAGUGUCUUGCACUCGAGAAGGCGUUCACUCGCUACCUUCCUCGCGCGGGUGGUUCCUUGCCUGCGCACUUGGGCAGCUGGCCCUUCUCCCUUGGGCCUCAGUUUCCCUGAGAGGGGGCAGGUACUCCCCGUGUGGAUGCAGGAGAAAAAUCAUCCCUGCCUGGGACUCUGAGUGCAUCCGCCAACUGUUUCUAUACUCACAUGUUCAUCCGGACAGCAGGUUCCUCGUGUGGAUACCAAGCUCCUCCAUUGUGCCAGGGUCCUUUGGGGUUGACGGUCUGACGAGAGGAGACAGGCAGUGCUCGAUCAGGAGGUUUUGGACAGUGAACUGUGGAGGAGGUGAUCCCCGUGGAGGUGGAGCUGAGGUGCGUAGUGUUGGGCUGACCCAGUGGAGGAGGAAGUGCCACUGCAAACAGCCUGAGGCAUCGUCCUACUUGGCUGGUGGCGAGCAGAGGGCCAGACUGUGCAGGCCUUUUUUUGGUGAGAGGGGGAAACCAAGGUCUGCUCAGAGCACACAGCUCCUCCCUGGCCCUCGGCAGUAUGGCCCCCAGGCCUGCUUGGCUUUGCAGGAGGACAGAGCUCAGCCUUCAGCAUGCCCGCUCCCCUUAAUCUCAUUAGAAGGCCAGCCUGUUGCCAUGGCAAUUGCUGGGAGGGGUGGUGGGUGGGGGGAGCCAAGGCCGGCUUCAUCUCGAGAGAGAGGACGGGAGGGGCUGGCAGGUGGGGGUGCAUCUGCAUCAUCUGCAGGGCCCUGGAGGCCUGGGGGCUGCCCUGGAGAAGUGUCUGUGUUUGUCAUGGCACACCUCCCCAGGGCUCCUGGCCGCCCCCGUUCCCCAGCUUUGUGGCUUCCACUCUGCCAGGGUUGA